rnacentral:rRNA from 1 species
GACGAACGCUGGCGGCAUGCCUAACACAUGCAAGUCGAACGAAACCUCCGGGUCUUGUGGCGCACGGGGGCGUAACGCGUGGGGACCUGCCCUUAGGUACGGAAUACCUCCCCGACAGGGGUGCUAAUACCGCAUAAUGUCUUCGGACCAAAGAUUUCUUGCCUUUGGAUGGGCCCGAGUUGGAUUAGGUAGUUGGUAGGGUAAAAGCAUACCAAGGCGAGGAUGCAUAGCUGGUCUGAGAGGAUGAUUAGCCACACUGGGACUCAGACACGGCCCAGACUCCUACGGAAGGCAGCAGUGGGGAAUAUUGGAAAAUGGGCGAAGGCCUGAUCCAGCAAUGCCGCGUAAGUGAUGAAGGCCGUAGGGUAGUAAAGCGCUUUUACCCGGGAUGAUAAUGACGGUACCGGGAGAAUAAGCUCCGGCUAACUCCGUG